UUACGAACUAUGGCUGUGUUCAAAUGUGACAGUAUUAUUUCAAAAAUAAUCAUCAUAAUUUUAUCUGUAUUUUCGUGUCAAAACGUUACGUCUGUAUACACGUGUCAUACAUCAAAUACUCGGGUGACCAGAGUACGACAUCCUUUUGUAUGACAUUUUCUGGUCUCUACUUUCAUUUUUGGUGAGACCCGUGCACGUGUUGGAUCAGUUCCAAGAAAAAGAUGACAGAAGACGCGAGUAGUAGGUCAUAGAAAGGCCACUGAUCACUUCUGUGACUCUUUAACUUGGAAAAGAUCAAGAUUGAUCUCUUGACAGAAGAUAAAAUGACAUUUGUGUAGAAAGGGGUAUAUACAAUACAAUGUAUAUUUUUUAAAUAAAACUGAAAAUUUG